rnacentral:rRNA from 1 species
GGAUGAACGCUGGCGGCGUGCCUAAUACAUGCAAGUCGAGCGAACAGAUGAGGAGCUUGCUCCUCUGACGUUAGCGGCGGACGGGUGAGUAACACGUGGAUAACCUACCUAUAAGACUGGGAUAACUUCGGGAAACCGGAGCUAAUACCGGAUAAUAUAUUGAACCGCAUGGUUCAAUAGUGAAAGACGGUUUUGCUGUCACUUAUAGAUGGAUCCGCGCCGCAUUAGCUAGUUGGUAAGGUAACGGCUUACCAAGGCAACGAUGCGUAGCCGACCUGAGAGGGUGAUCGGCCACACUGGAACUGAGACACGGUCCAGACUCCUACGGGAGGCAGCAGUAGGGAAUCUUCCGCAAUGGGCGAAAGGCUGACGGAGCAACGCCGCGUGAGUGAUGAAGGUCUUCGGAUCGUAAAACUCUGUUAUUAGGGAAGAACAAAUGUGUAAGUAACUAUGCACGUCUUGACGGUACCUAAUCAGAAAGCCACGGCUAACUACGUG